rnacentral:lncRNA from 1 species
AAAGAAAGUUACUUCAAAAUGAACAAACGGACAGAUCUUCCUGAGAAAUCGUCGAGCUUUGGGUUCAAAAGAAUCCAAUUCAUGAUGAGGAAAAGGUACGAAUAUGAUAACAUCCUCAUCUGGACAUGCGUCGGGCCCAAUCUCAUACCCCAAAGAGUGCUAAUUGACUGAUACCAACAUGGAACAGGGAAUCAAAUUAAACAAACGCUUAUUUUAAGUUAAAAAGGCGGAACGCAUGACUUCAAAAUUUAGAUUCCAGGAUCAUUUUUCAUGCAUUUUCGAACUAAUCCUGCCAUGAAAAUGAAGCAAUCUUAUUAGGAUAGCUAUUGGCUUAAGGGACAAACCCCAAGUGAUCAUUGCUGUCUAAAAUAACACACUGAACAUGGAAUAAUAAUGGGGAUUCAACCUCAAUUUCGAACAAGCUAGAUCAUGAACGCACGAGGUGAAAUCUGAAUCCCAAUCACGAACUUGUCAACAAACAGUGAAAGAAACCUGGCAUAGCUUGGCUAGUUUUGUAACUUGUCAAACCAAAAACUCAUUGUUUGAGUCCUAGUUUUCAAGAACACCAAUGCCUCCCUUGAAUUCUAAAAGACUAUAUGAUAAAAGAUUGUAAUAUGAAACUCAGAUUCUUAAAAAAUCAACUAAGCUAAACUUGAAGCCAAGGGAAAACAAAGAAAAGUAGGUAUAGAUCUGUGUUAUAGGGAAGCAAACAUGUUCACAACUCAAAUACACCUUUUAGAACCCAUAAAAGCAUCUUGAAUCAGCUGCACUUACACAAUUUCAAAUCCAGACCUUAAAAUAGACCUUAAAACAAAAUGAGUAACACCAAUGACUAUAUUUAAGAAGCCAGACUAAGUGGAUACCAAUCCAAGUUACCAAACAACACACAAUAUUCAGAAUCUUGGGUUUUAAUUACAUAUUCAGACGUAAAAGACAAGAAGCAAACUUCUCUAAAGGAAAAGAAGACAGGCAAACAAAAGAACUAAACUAUGAACAUAACUAUUGUGGCUAGUUCUCACAACUCCUGAUCUCUAUUUUUCAAUUCCCAAGUCCAACUUUUACAUUAAGUAAAGUGUAGAAACAUGUACCUGGAGAUGGAAAAAAAUAGAAGGUAAAGGAUCAGCAGUAAUUUAGUAUAAGGCAGCAGCAGAAAUAAUUAGUGAAACCAGUUUCCAACCCAGAAAUGUUGUGCAGUACUCCAAAAGAAAAUAAUUUCAAUUGAACAAGAGUCUAGCAGACUUUGAACCAAACUUUUAAACCAAACUCAAACCAUUUCCAACCCCAGGUGAAUCAGAAUUUGUUUCAGAAAUUGAAGACUUUAAAAUUCACAGAUGAAAUGUAAUGGAACAGUGAUUGUAUUGGAACUUUUUGCCGUUUUUAAUUCCUAUCUUUCUAUCUCUGAAUCUCCCUUGAAUGCUAAGUUAGAGAGCCUUUAUAGGCAAGACAUUUAGGGCAGCUAGAUGAAGAUCAGAUUUUUCCCUCGACCCUUUUGCAAU